rnacentral:vault_RNA from 13 species
GGGCUGGCUUUAGCUCAGCGGUUCCUUCGUGUAGUUUGACACUUGGUUACAACUGUAGAUGAACAGUUCGCGACCCGCGGGCGCUCUCCAGUCCUUUU